ensembl:lncRNA
CGGAAGACUUGGCGCGAAGAGGAAGGGAGGUGGAGCUCCAGCCAGGAGCCCGUUCGUCUGUCUGCUCUAUGGGGCUGGCUCAGUUCGCUGCGGAGAAAGCAGCAGAAGUAAGGAACCUUAAAGACCAUUUAGCUCCAAGCCCUCUGCUGUGUGCCAGAGAUGAACAAAUAGAGAAGUGCCACUGGCAGGGACACAGACUGCAGCUCCCAUUUCUAGAAGGGAGAAAGAAAAAGGACACUGAAGAUAACAUGGUCUAAGAAGACUUGCAAGAGCAUGACAUGUGUCAUGGAACUUAAUGUUACCGCAAAAGACACUGCAUGAAAACAAACCAAGCAAGCAAACAAACAAAGAAGAAGUGGAUACUCCGCAGUCUAAGAAAAUCUGAUAUAGAAGGGGGCUUCACACAGGACCAAACUAUCCCAGAAGAUACCUGUGGAGAAUGCAAAUAAAUAUGUCUUCUUUGAGAUAUGGUCACGUUGCAGAGCCUACAGGAAAAAAUCUGAGCAGGACUGUGCCUCUUCUAACAGUAUAUUCUGGUACUUGAUUCUCCAGAUAUUAUAUGGUACCAUCUUGAAUUUGCUGUAUGAACAUUGGUUGCUAUGGAAAUAAUCAUCUCCUAAAUUCAGCAUUACUGAUUUUGGUUAAUAUGGGAAUGCUUGAGUGUGGCUCCUCUUCAGAUCGGAGCUGUACCCCUAUGAUAAGGUUCUGUGUUGAGGAAUGGCUCCACAGCCAAGGGGGCCAUGGGUCUCUUGAACGGCUGUACGAGCAGGACAGGCCUAAUAGUUGGCAGGAGAUACAAGUGGAAAAGUACUAGCUUGCUAUGCUAUGAUGGCUCAGGGAGCAAGAACUUGCUGAGCUCAGGUGCUACGUGCGCAACUCAAGCUAGAAGACCUUGAGGCUAUGAAAGCACAAAGAAGAAGCUGAGGCUGCAGCUAAGAUAAGGGGGAAGCUCGCCUGGGAAGAGACUGAGUAAUGGAAUACAAAGAACAAUGCGAUGAUUAAUGCUGUAUCUGUAGCUAGGCGAGCGAGGUGUGUGACUCCACGGCCAAUGGUAUUGUAGGGCCAGGGGCUCUCGCAAUGCUUCAACCAAUUAUAAGAUGACAUGCUUUUGCCAGGAUCUAUAUAUGUGUGUAAGCAACGGAUAAUAAACGGAGAUUCUGAUGCACUCAUAUUGGGUCAUGUCAUCACUCCCCAUGCGGCUCAGCCAGCGAACUGACUAGAUUCCGGUUUUCCGAACCCUGGGGAACCCGCGACAACCUGGGACUGGGGUUCGCGACAGUUCUGGACACUCUUUACAGGAAAAUUCAUAGGGAGAAAAUGUAAGAGAAUUAAAUCUCCAUUUAAUAACAUAGAUCUAUGCUAGUCCAAAAGGAUUAGCCUGACCUCUGUGAAUGGGAAGAUCAUGGAGCAGAUCCUUCUGGUUACCAAGUUAAGGCACAUACAAGAUGAAGAGGUGAUCCAAGACAGCCAGAAUGGCUUCACCAAGAGCAGAUCUUGCCUGACCAAUCUGGUGGCCUUCUAGGUUGGAGUGAUGGCAUCAGUGAACAAGGGAAGGGCAAUGGAUG